CGGUUAAAAAGCUCGUAGUUGGAUUUCUGUUGAGGGCGACCGGUGUACACCUCGUGUAUUAUUUGGUUCGGUCUCGGCAUCCUCUUGGGGAACGUUACUGGACUUUAUUGGACAGGGCGAGAUUCAAGACUUUUACUUUGAGGAAAUUAGAGUGUUCACGGCAGGCAAGCGCUUUGAAUACAUUAGCAUGGAAUAAUAAUAUAGGACCUUCGUUCUAUUUUGUUGGUUUCUAGAACUUAGGUAAUGAUUAAUAGGGACAAUUGGGGGCAUUCGUAUUAACGCGUCAGAGGUGGAAUUCUUGGAUUGCGUUACGACGAACUACUGCGAAAGCAUUUGCCAAAGAUGUUUUCAUUGAUCAAGAACGAAAGUAUGGGGAUCGAAGACGCUUAGAUACCGUCGUAGUCUAUACCAUAAACUAUGCCAACUAGAGAUUGGUGGGGUUCUCCUAUUUGGCUCCAUCAGCAUCUUAUGAGAAAUCAAAGUCUUUGGGUUCCGGGGGGAGUAUGGUCGCAAGGCUGAAACUUAAAGGAAUUGACGGAAGGGCACCACCAGGAGUGGAGCCUGCGGCUUAAUUUGACUCAACACGGGAAAACUUACCAGGUCCAGACAUAGUAAGGAUUGACAGAU
rnacentral:rRNA from 1 species